AUUGAACGCUGGCGGCAUGCUUUACACAUGCAAGUCGAACGGUAACAGGGUGCUUGCACCGCUGACGAGUGGCGAACGGGUGAGUAGUGCGUCGGAACGUGCCGAGUAGUGGGGGAUAACGCAGCGAAAGUUGUGCUAAUACCGCAUACGUACUGAGGUAGAAAGUGGGGGACCUUCGGGCCUCACGCUAUUCGAGCGGCCGACGUCUGAUUAGCUAGUAGGUGGGGUAAAGGCUCACCUAGGCGACGAUCAGUAGCGGGUCUGAGAGGAUGAUCCGCCACACUGGGACUGAGACACGGCCCAGACUCCUACGGGAGGCAGCAGUGGGGAAUUUUGGACAAUGGGCGAAAGCCUGAUCCAGCCAUUCCGCGUGUCUGAAGAAGGCCUUCGGGUUGUAAAGGACUUUUGUCGGGGAGGAAAUCCCCAGCGUUAAUACCGCUGGGGGAUGACAGUACCUGAAGAAUAAGCACCGGCUAACUACGUGCCAGCAGCCGCCGUAA
rnacentral:rRNA from 1 species